rnacentral:rRNA from 1 species
AGAGUUUGAUCCUGGCUCAGGACGAACGCUGGCGGCGUGCUUAACACAUGCAAGUCGAACGGAAAGGCCCCUUCGGGGGUACUCGAGUGGCGAACGGGUGAGUAACACGUGGGCAACCUGCCCUCAGCUCUGGGAUAACUCCGGGAAACCGGGGCUAAUACUGGAUAUUCACUGCUCAUCGCAUGGUGGGUGGUGGAAAGUUUUUCGGCUGGGGAUGGGCCCGCGGCCUAUCAGCUUGUUGGUGGGGUGAUGGCCUACCAAGGCGACGACGGGUAGCCGGCCUGAGAGGGCGACCGGCCACACUGGGACUGAGACACGGCCCAGACUCCUACGGGAGGCAGCAGUGGGGAAUAUUGCACAAUGGGCGGAAGCCUGACGCAGCGACGCCGCGUGAGGGAUGACGGCCUUCGGGUUGUAAACCUCUUUCAGCUCUGACGAAGCGAGAGUGACGGUAGGAGCAGAAGAAGCACCGGCCAACUACGUGCCAGCAGCCGCGGUA